rnacentral:lncRNA from 1 species
CAAACCAAUUUACCCCAGGGCUUAGUACAGUGCCUGGCACUUAGUAAGUACUUAACAAAUAUCUUUUUUUUUUUUAAGGGACAUGUUUUAUAUGAUAUCUCUGCACAAUGGUUAGAUGAAUAAUGGGGCACCCAAAGGUGACGGAGCUUGUUCUGCAGCCUCGUUCCAGACUGUAGAACAGAAACCAUUUGGGAUUAAUGCUUUCUUUCUCUGUCUCUCUCUCUCUCUGUUUGUUGUGUAUAUUCAUAGUGAUUGGGCCUAAUAUUAGCUGGGAGUGAUCUCAUAAACAGUUUACUGGAGGAAGGAACAGGAUCCACUCCAUUACUAUGGACUUGAAUUGUGAGAAGGGAUAUGGACGUUUCUCAUUGUCUUCCCACGGAGGUGUGAAAAAGAGCAAAGCUUACCAACCAUCAGAAUAAAUGGGUUGUUUACUGCAAUGUUUACAGCCCUGGGGAAAAACAAACCCUCCCCAGAGGGAACAGAUGAGAGAUUUAUUUUCCAAGACAGCUCUGCAGGUAUCAGACUUGAAAAGAACAAUCUUGCAAGAAAUUAGUCUUCAAAUUCACUCAGCUCAAAUGUUGCGUAGAAAUGCAUGAACAUCAUAACAGCAAACUGGUGGAAAGAGCCAUCCAUUC